rnacentral:snRNA from 1 species
AUCGCUUCUUGGCCUUUUGGCUAAGAUCAAGUGAAACAUAUACGUAAAGUAUAUUUAUUAUAUUACAUAUUAUGUAUAACUAAAUGCAAGCACAUAUACAUAUGUGUGUGUAUUUAUAUAUACCCACACAUAUGAAA